rnacentral:rRNA from 1 species
GACGAACGCUGGCGGCGUGCUUAAUACAUGCAAGUCGCACGGAAAGGCCCCGGGUUUGUGGGGUCCUCCGGUGGCGAACCGGUGAGGAACACAUGAGUAACCUGCCCUCGACUUUGGGAUAACUUCACGAAUCUCGGGCUCAUUCCGCGUAGGAAAUCCUGCUACCUGGUGGGGGAUGGUGAGUUUCGGCCGGUGGGGAUGGACUCGCGGGUUAUCAGCUUGUCAGUGGGGUAGUGGUUUACCAAGGCUGUGACGGGUAGCCGGCCUGAGAGGGUGACCGGCCACAUUGGGACUGAGAUACGGCCCAGACUCCUACGGGAGGCAGCAGUGGGGAAUAUUGCACUAUGGGCGGAAGCCUGGCGCAGCAGCGCCGCGUGGGGGGUGACGGCCUGGGGGUUGUAAACCGCUUUCGCCUGGGACGAAGAGAGAGUGACGGUAAUGGGUAAAGAAGCACCGGCUAACUACGUG